CUGCGGCAGCGUCAUCAGAGCGUCAUCAGAGCUCUCUGAUCUACGUGGUCUCAUUCGGUGGAUUCAGACAGCGCAUUUUCUACAUUGACCAACGAUACAUAAAGUUAUAAGGUGCUUCUUGAGCAUCAACCCAGAGACGGGCACAAAAUCUAAGAGGCAGAGAGGUCACAUGAACCAGCAAGUCUGCACUCUUAUCAGGAAGCUCAUUGACUUCGAAUGGAUGUCAAUCUAAUUGGAUAGAACCCACACUAUGCAGGUGCCAGCUGCGAGGGAAGGAGAGAGACACCUGCGACCCUCUCUAUUCCCACCUUUUUGUCUUUUCUUACAUCUCUCUCCCUCACUCUCUCUUCUCUGUCUCCUUCUUUCUCUUUUGACACACAUUCCUGUUACCCAGUGUCAAUCCCUGUUGCCCAGUGUUUUAUUCAUGUAAUUAAAUUGUAUUUUACUUCUAAAAAAUAAAGUUAUGUCACUGUUUUUAUC